UCCUGUGUAGUGUAGCGGUUAUCACACUGGAUUUUGAUAUCAAUAUCAAAAGUCUUCCAGUAACCCCAGUUCGAAUCUGGGCACGGGAU